rnacentral:rRNA from 1 species
CCCUUAGAUGUCCGGGGCUGCACGCGCGCUACACUGAAGGAAUCAGCGUGCUAAAACCAUUUUCGAAAGGCAUUGGUAAACCCAUUAAAAUCCUACGUGAUUGGGAUCGGGAAUUGCAAUUAUUUCCCUUGAACGAGGAAUUCCCAGUAAGUGUGGGUCAUAAGCUCGCGUUGAUUACGUCCCUGCCCUUUGUACACACCGCCCGUCGCUGCCCGGGACUGAGCCGUUUCGAGAAAAGCGGGGACUGCUGCUGUCGGGGCUUUCGGGCCUUGGCUUCGGUGGAAACCGCUUUAAUCGCAGUGGCUUGAACCGGGCAAAAGUCGUAACA